rnacentral:piRNA from 1 species
UAUAUAUAUAUUUCACUACUUAGAGGA